UACGUAGGGGGCAAGCGUUGUCCGGAUUUAUUGGGCGUAAAGAGCGUGUAGGCGGCCAGGGAGGUCCGUUGUGAAAACUCGAGGCUCAACCUCGAGACGCCGAUGGAAACCCCUUGGCUAGAGUCCGGAAGAGGAGAGUGGAAUUCCCGGUGUAGCGGUGAAAUGCGCAGAUAUCGGGAAGAACACCCGUGGCGAAGGCGGCUCUCUGGGACGGUACUGACGCUGAGACGCGAAAGCGUGGGGAGCGAACAGG
rnacentral:rRNA from 1 species